GCUUCAUGUUUCAGGUUUGAGUUUCUGCAGGUGGAGACUUGGCCAUCCUCCAGUCAAACUAUACAUAUUUUCUGCUGCAGGUGUUCCGCCUGUGAAGGAACGCUACCGUGGCACAGGACCAAAGACACCUCCAGUCCAACCAGUUUUCUCCGGUCGAGCUUUAAAGAGCGAAGCGGCACGGACUCCUGUGAGUUCAGUUUGUGAUGUUGGAGGAUAAACUGAGGUCCAGACUCCAGCUGAGGCACUCAUGCAGCUGCAGAUGUCAGAAUGAGGCUGUGUGACGGAUACGAGCACGACGGGCAGACAGCUGCAGCACCCAGCUGCUCCACAGGGAGGCGCCGCUCGCUGCCUGCAGGUCAUAACCAGCUGAUCGACUACCUGGACAUUAAGUCGGCCAUUUAUCUGCUGAUGUCACACAAUCAGAACCCGGAGCUGAUCAAGAUGCAGC
ensembl:lncRNA